CUGGCUGGGCAGAGUGUGGAGCUGUUGAUUGCUUUGAGUGUCUCCAGUAAAUGACCCCAAUUUCACCUGAAAGUUAACCUUUCCCACCCACUCCUCUGUGUGGUCUCAGCUACUCCCACUCUAGGUCCAGAAGGGGCACGAGGGACCAGGCUGAGCCAACUAGAGCAGCACAUUUUCCAAUCCCUUGUAACCGGCUUGGGGGAAGAUGCAUAAUCUAAGUGGACUGGAUCACAGAGAAACUCAGGACUUUGGUCUGAGUGAUCUCCUAAGGAGGAACUUAAACCUGGGUAGGUGUGAGAAACUGCUUGUCUCCACCAGCAAGCUGCCAUCUAAGAAAGGUCCUUGGAGAGGAAAUGGCGUCCCGAGAAGGCAUUGCACAGCAGUACCCUACCAGAUGCACCCCUGUGGCCGGACUUUACUGACCUUUUCGAUGAAGAUUUUCAGUGAAGAGGACCUGGCUCCUGGAAGAUUCCAGCCUUUGCCCGCUGCAGAUAUAUCAUCCUAGAACUUGAAUCAUCUCUGGUGUUGAGCAAUUUGCCAAUGUCCGUGACCAGCUAAGGAGAUUUAAAUGCUCAAUUGCCUCGUAA